rnacentral:rRNA from 7 species
GUGCAACCCCAGGAUGGGCGGGGUGACCCGCUGAGUUUAAGCAUAUCAAUAAGCGGAGGAGAGGAAACUUACAAGGAUUCCCCUA